UUCCGGUUGAUCCUGCCGGACCUCACUGCUAUCGGGAUGGGACUAAGACAUGCUAGUCGUGCGUCUCUAAGCCACGGUGGAGACGCGGCGCACAGCUCAGUAACACGUGGCUAACCUGCCCUUGGGACAGGGACAACUCCGGGAAACUGGAGCUAAUCCCUGAUAGGUGAAGACUCCUGGAAUGGAUCUUCGCCCAAAAGGCGUCUAGACCAUGCUUCUAGGCGUCGCCCAAGGAUGGGGCCGCGGCCGAUCAGGUUGUUGGUGAGGUAACGGCUCACCAAGCCUAUAACCGGUACGGGCCGUGGGAGCGGGAGCCCGGAGAUGGGCACUGAGACAAGGGCCCAGGCCCUACGGGGCGCAGCAGUCGCGAAACCUUCGCAAUACACGAAAGUGUGACGGGGCCAUCCCGAGUGCCGUCCGCUGAGGACGGCUUUUCCCCAGUGUAGAUAGCUGGGGGAAUAAGGAGAGGGCAAGUCGGGUGUCAGCCGCCGCGGUAAAACCAGC
rnacentral:rRNA from 1 species